rnacentral:lncRNA from 1 species
CCAAACCGGAUUACGGGUGCGACGGGAGGCCGAUUGCAAGUGUCGACAAGCAAUCGGAAAGCGUUUUGAGGUGGGUCGUGCUCACUGAAGCGAUUAGGUCGCUUUCCAUGCUAAAGUAUAGUAUGUUUACUAUUGAUGCAUGAUAAAGUAUGCUAUUUAAGAAUGCAUGAUAAAGAUUAAAGUAUGCUAUUUAAGAAUGCAUGAUAAAGAUUAAAGUAUGCUAUUUAAGAAUGCAUGAUAAAGAUAGAUGUCAAAUGAAUGCAUGAGUUGAUGUUAAUUUACAUGAGCAUAUUAUAGAAAUGUUAAACAGAUGUCAAAUGAAAGUAUGAGAUUUAUUCUAACCGAGAAUGCAUGUGGUAAAUGUUAACGAAUGCAUAAAAUGCUAAGUAAUGACUACCAAUGGAUGACAAAAUAUAUGCAUGUUGAACAUAGAUCGAGUGGCAUUUGGAAAUGGUAAAGUGGACACUAGAGUUAGUGUGGGACAUCAAAGAAUAAAUGUGAUGUAAAGAAUAAUGAUAAUGGCUAAAGAUAAUGUAAAACAAUGUGAUGAUAAUAAUGUAAUGUUGCAUGAUGUGAGUACACGUGCUUAUUAGAAUGAUUAAGAAUCUAAAUAAUCUAUGUGUAUGCAUGAGAUGUAAUGUGAGAACCUAAUGAUAAUGGUUUGAGACAAGGCAAAGCAAUGUGAUGUAAAGAAUAAUGAUAAUGGCUAAAGGCGAUGUAAAGUAAUGUGGCAUAAAGAGCAAGCAAAGUGUAAAGAACAAUGAUAAUGGCUAGAGUUAGCAACCAAUGUGACAUAAAGAACACUAGAGUUAGUGUGUGGCAAUAAAAGAACAAGUGUGAUAUCAAGAAUGACAAUUACUAAAGUAAUUGAUAAUUGUGGUAUAAAGAAUAAUGAUUGCUAGAGUUAGCAACUAAUGUGAUGUAAAGAACACUAGAGUUAGUGUAAAACCAUGAUCCAACUACAUAUCCUUAGAGUUAAGGAUUGAUCAUACUUGCUAUGAGUUCCGUGCUCGAGGGCGGUCGCUCCCCCUCGAGCGAUGCGCUCCGGAGUUUGGCAUCCGGGUUGGAGUAGACCCGUAAGGACGGUCCUAGCUGGUGAGUUCCUGCGAUGAUGGACUUAAUGUGAAGCAAGUUAAUGUGGCGAAACCCCCGGGUUAGCCGUGAGAUUAAAGAACAAAGAACAAAAAGGAAUCAUGAAUUGGAAAGUGGAUCUUGUAUUCAUUAUGAAUUGACUCAAGACGGAGUCGAGUGGCAUAGUUGGCUAAAGUAAAGGUGACAAUUGAGAAAGAAUGACAAUUGAGAAACGUUUGUUAAUGUUAUAAAGAAUGGCAAAAGUGUAUAAUGCGCCUAAGGUGCGAGUGCCCUUAAUAAAGAAUAAAGAAUAAAGAAUAAAGAAUAAAGAAUAAAGAAUAAAGAGUAAAGAAUGGCUAAUGAUAAAGAAUAGCAAAUUCUAAAGAAAGUCUAAUGGUAAAGAAUAACUAAGAGUUGCAUAAUUUGCAUAUUUGUGAGGCAUGAACAUGUAUUGCAUGAUGUUAUAUGUAUAUAUAUCUGUUGGACUAACAUGUUGCAGUGCCUCCUUUGGACCUGGUGGGUUGAGCUUUUCACUUGGGUGGCUGUACCCACUGACGACUAUGGACAAUAGUCUCACCCCCGUGUUGUUGUUUUUGGGGGUACAGGUUCACACGCGAGCGGCGCGGCGGCGCGAGGAAAGGGCGUAGCUCCGUAGUUAGCGCCCUACCACAGAGACCAGAUAGCAGCACCCUGAGUCGGCUUCUUAGGGGUAUAAGAAAAGAAAAGAAAAGAAUUGAUGUUGUAAUAUUAUGUUUAGAAAUCGAUUGUAUAUUUGGAAGUUGAGAAUCAAUGUAAUGAAAAAUGCGAUGUAAAAUGAUGAGAUGAAUGAUUGUAAUAACAUAGGAUGUGUUAUGUUGUUUGAUACCUUCCUUAUGCAAUCGUUGUUGAAAAAUUGUUCCUGUUUGGAACCUCUUGUACUUGGAUUGAUUGCGACGCCUUGAACGUACAGGGGAGACUCUGUCCGCGUGUAGGGAAAACCCUGUCCGUUCGGCGGUCUGUUGGCGUGCCCGAAUCCGACCAAAGAGGCGGGCUCGGGGCGUGACAGAUAAGAUGGUAUCAGAGCAUAAAGUAGAGAAUGGGAAAGUGGUUUAGAUGAACCUAGGAGACCCUAGGAUAGUAAACCAUAGGAGAUUAAGGCUCGUGAGAGACGAGGACUUGUGGCUUUGGCGAAAGGUUAAGGGAUUGGGUUGUGUUGUAAACCUCUAAAAAGGAGAUUAGAGGUGGAUUCAAGGUGUGGUCUACUCUCAACCGAGGGUGUUCAUGUUGGACGCGUACAACAUGAAACCGAGUGAUGAGAAUAGAUGACCUUGUAUGACUUUCGCCUGAUUUGAGUUGAUGUCAGUUGUCUCGUACUCGACCUAGAAGGUUGAGAGUUAGUUGAGUUGUUAUGUUCUAGGUAACGAUGGCACUGCGUAGGCGAUCUUCGUUUAGAUCGACGCGGGGUGGGACAAGUGAUGUCCCAGAGCAAUCCAAGGCGAGCGGAGAUUUGGAACUUCGCGAACAGUUGGCCACACUUGUGGGUGUGGUGAGGCAACGAGCAGAUGUGGUGCAGCGGCAGCAGGAGGCUGUUAUGCACCAGGAGGAGCGAAUUAAGAGACUCCUGAAAAGUUGUAGGUGUAAUAUACCGAAACUUCGGUAAGCGAACAUCGAACCUUGGUCAAAUUAACCAAAGAGCGAGGUUGGUACACUUCGGAAAGGCCGAAGGCAUCAAAUAAUGCAAAAGUGCGUUACUGGGGAUCUUCGAGAGCUUUGGGAAUCAAAAUCUGCAAAUUGCAGGUUUUCUGCUCUCGGGGACCGGUCUCUGGUGGGAGAGACCGGUCCCCGCACGCGCAGACAGCGAAAGGGAGGAAAAAAAAAAAAAGGCUAAGUCCCCGGUGGACAGCUCUCGGGAACCGGUCCCUGCAGGGAGAGACCGGUCCCGAAGAGACCGGUCCCAUCGGGGGAGACCGGAUGCAUCGUGCGUGAGCCCUGCUGACCGCGGGGAGAGCUCUCGGAGACCGGUCCCUCGUCGGGGAGACCGGUCCCCGAACCUGAGAGUGGCCCAGUCAGGGCAGUGUAAAAGAGUAAAAGUUGAGAGGCUUGUUUGCACUUAUGCAACAUGUGGGGCUAUGUGAGGAGUAUGAGAGCUCUUUUCUCUCAUUUCUCAUCCACACACCCUCUCAUAUCUCUCUUUCUCUCUCUCUAGAAGACAAGAAGAGGAAGAAGAAAGGAAGGAAAAAGAAAGAGAAAGAGCGGGCUUUGGCAGCCCUCAUGACCUUCAUAAAGUUUGAUCCACCUACCUUCGAUGGAGAGAAUGUCGAUUCGUGGAUUGUGGAUACGUGGAUUGACUCCGUGGAAACGCUCUUCGAGGAGCUGUCUACCUUGGAGCGGGACAAGGUACCCCUAGCCGUGUAUUGUUUGAAACAGUCGGCUAAGGCGUGGUGGAAAGGCAUUCGACGGAACCGAUCGCCUAGUAUUCCUCCAUGGCAUGGGAUGAGUUUUGGGGAUUGGUAUCUUCUACUUACUUCCCCCGACAGUGAAAAGAGAAAGCUUCAGGACAAGUUCAGGAAGCUGCGGCAAGGAGACCGCUCAGUUAGAGAAUACGAACGGGAAUUCUCCCUAUCAUGAACUGUAUCCGAGAUAUGGAGCCUGCUGCUGACGACGUCAUGGCGGGUAUGAGCUGUUAAUGCAGUUAUGUGUUUCUGCAUAAUGUAGAGUUGGUGCAUUGCAUGCAUUGAGCAUGUAAUUAAUUACUACUAUUUAUGUAGUAGCAUAGUAGGGUCCAAGUGAGCGGGUAAAUGUAAACACCCGGGCACGCUUAUGUGGUGAAAGCGUUGCACCUGCCGGUGCAGGUAGAGAACUGGAUGGUACUAGCGAGUUGCUAGUGGUGGUCUAAUGAUGAGACUUGUAGUAGAGGUGGAAAUGACGAACCAACUCGCAGAGCAAUCUAUGUAAUUGAUUGCGAGAGUUGUGUCAUGACACUUGUGGACACUCGAAUGGUUUGAGUGUUCUAGAUGUUGCUCCGGUAGAGCGAUUGGCUGCCAAAUACGGGCGCGUUGGCCUAGUAGUACCUCGAAUUGAGGUGGGUGAGUCGUGCUCGUGUGGCCGGUGUGCAUAGGCAAGAGUUGCCUAAUGCUGGACAUAGUGUGGAGCGCUUUAGAGGCGUGCGAUACACGAGUAUAGUUACUCGUGGAGUGCGGAUUUAGUUCAGCCGGAUGAGUGUGUUGGCAGUAGCACCUGAGCAUUGCUAGGUGUGAAGCGUGCCACGGAUCACUCGUGGGGCUGGUGGCUCGCACUAGGUGCAUAGGAGCCGAUAGUGGUACGUAUUGUGCUAUAGAGCGUGUAGUGCGAUUGAUAGUAUACUGAGAGUGCGAGUGUGACCCAACCCGGGAAUCUGUAACGGUUUGGGAUCUUAGUUGCUCCUGGUUGGAGUGUGUGCGAAUUCCCAAGUGAGAAUUUCGCCCCAAUGAUGAUUGGGUCUGCAUUGCGAGCGAGAGACGCUGCGUAUUGAGAAAGGUUUAGGUGGUAGGCCUACAUAGUAUUGGUGGCCUUUGGACCACCAGUGGAAACCGAGGAAAGCGAUUUGGCGGAUAGACUUAUCGAGAGGUUUGACUCGAAUUCACGAACAAAGUGUUCUUGUGAGCUCUUUGCAGAAAUGGUUUGACGUUGACCAUGGCAUAUGGUAUUGAAAAAUGAAGUGCUCUUGGAGAGACCUUGAGCUUAUGGCAAGCCACGUGGAAUUUGAGAACUGGAAGUGGGGAUGUGCCGAAGUGGGCCAUCUCACUUAGAGCAAAAAGUCGGGGCGGAAUUAGAGCACUCGCGGUGAAGCGAUGCACUAGUGAUGUUGCUUUUAAGCAAUGUUGGAGAUAGAAUCGGAGUGUAUUCCCUGAGGGGAAAGUAAAUGCGAAGAAGAGUUCUUGUAUGCCAAAUGACAAGUGGUAUUGGACCGCGUGAAGUCGUUGAGUUUCGACUUGCGCCGCCACCAAGAGUGAUGGAUACCCUAAUGCACUUUGUGAGAUGCGCCUUGCAAAUUUGGAUGCAUUUAGUAUCAUGAACUCCGUGGUAGUCCUCUUGGAUAGUUCCAAGGAGUGUGAAGCCAUUCCGAAGUGGAAAGCGUAUUGGUGCUCUCAAUUACUCGAGGAGCUGAAUCGAGUUGUGGUUUGAAUUUCGCGGACGAAAUUCUUUUAAGGGGUGGAGAAUGUAAUAUACCGAACUUCUAAAUUCACGAAGUUACGAUGUAAGUUAGCUUAGAAAGCCAUUGGAAUCGUCCCGGCGAAGUUCGGGAGCAUUCGGGUGCUUCGGUGCGCAUAGGGCGCGAAAACGGAGCCGAAAGGCUAUGUUGGACCGUGAGUUAAAUCCGGCAUUAGCGUGGAUGAAAAGAUGAUGAAAACAUGUUCGAAAACAUAUUUGGAGAGUCUCGGUUCGAUUUGAAAUGAAUCAGAGGUCAAACGAGCGAAAACGAGCGAAAACGGAGCUAAAAUGGUGAAAAAGCUGAAAAUUUGGCUAAGUCCUUGAAGGCUGAUUUCUGGACCUUCGGGGACCGGUCUCUCAGUCAAGGACCGGUCUCUCAGGGACCGGUCUCUCAUCGCAAGGACCGGUCCCCGAAGCCCGAAAAUGCCCAGUUCGGGCUGUUGUGAGAAAUGCAUUGUUGAGGGUGUUUUCAGCAAUUUUGCACUAAUAGAGGCUAUUAGAUGGUGGAAUGAGAUCUUUCUCUCAUUUCUCUCACUCUCCCACACCAAAACCUCUCCCUCUCUCUCUCUAGAAAGAAAAGAAGGAGAAGAAGAGGGGAAAGAAAGGGAAGAAGAAGAUGAAGGAGAAGAGGCCAAGAAGAUAGAGUUUCAUCUUCAUCUCCUUCCUUGAGCCAUAGGAGCAAGCUUAGAGAGGUAAGCCUUAUGCUCUCUAAUGGUAGACUUCUAGAACUUGGUUUAUAUGUUCUAGAAUUGGAUUUUAUGUACUCCUAGCAUGUCAAAUAGAUGAUAAAUGCUUGGAUCAUGAGAUGAAAUGGUAGAUUUUGCAAUAGUUGCAUAUUAGGGCUCCAAAAAGGGGGUUUUUGUAGAUAGUUGAGUUUGAUCUCAAUUGACCCUCUAUAAACCUAAUUGGGGGUAUAACGAACGCGUUGGUGCGCUCGGUUCGACAAUCCGACGAGUGUACGCAAAGUUAUUGACGAAACAAUCUGUUUUGGUACAGAUAACUGCAGCACGCGGGAUAAGCCUCCAAAAAUCAUGAGAAUGGAUCGGGAGCAUCGUGGUGUCGGGGAAUAAACUCCCGAACAGACGGAUCGCGAAUUGGUGGCCGUUCGGGUGGUCGCACAAGAGUUCGGGCCAGACCGGGUUACGGAUGCCGCGGGAGGCCGAUUGCAAGUGUCGACAAGCAAUCGGAAAGCGUUUUGAGGUGGGUUGUGCUCACCGAAGCGAUUAGGUCGCUUUCCAUGCCAAAGUGUAGUAUGUUUACUAUUGAUGCAUGAUAAAGUAUGCUAUUUGAGAAUGCAUGAUAAAGUAUGCUAUUUAAGAAUGCAUGAUAAAGAUAGAUGCCAAAUGAAUGCAUGAGUUGAUGUUAAUUUACAUGUGCAUAUUAUAGAAAUGCUAAAUAGAUGUCAAAUGAAAGUAUGAGAUUUAUACUAACCGAGAAUGCAUGUAGUAAAUGUUAACGAAUGCAUAAAAUGCUAAGUAAUGACUACCAAUGGAUGACAAAAUAUAUGCAUGUUGAACAUAGAUCGAGUGGCAUUUGGAAAUGGUAAAGUGGACACUAGAGUUAGUGUGGGACAUCAAAGAAUAAAUGUGAUGUAAAGAAUAAUGAUAAUGGCUAAAGAUAAUGUAAAACAAUGUGAUGAUAAUAAUGUAAUGUUGCAUGAUGUGAGUACACGUGCUUAUUAGAAUGACUAAGAAUCUAAAUAAUCUAUAUGUAUGCAUGAGAUGUAAUGUGAGAACCUAAUGAUAAUGGCUUGAGACAAGGCAAAGCAAUGUGAUGUAAAGAAUAAUGAUAAUGGCUAGAGGCGAUGUAAAGUAAUGUGGCAUAAAGAACAAGCAAAGUGUAAAGAACAAUGAUAAUGGCUAGAGUUAGCAACCAAUGUGACAUAAAGAACACUAGAGUUAGUGUGUGGCAAUAAAAGAACAAGUGUGAUAUCAAGAAUGACAAUUACUAAAGUAAUUGAUAAUUGUGGUAUAAAGAAUAAUGAUUGCUAGAGUUAGCAACUAAUGUGAUGUAAAGAACACUAGAGUUAGUGUAAAACCAUGAUCCAACUACAUAUCCUUAGAGUUAAGGAUUGAUCAUACUUGCUAUGAGUUCCGUGCUCGAGGGCGGUCGCUCCCCCUCGGGCGAUGCGCUCCGGAGUUUGGCAUCCGGGUUGGAGUAGACCCGUAAGGACGGUCCUAGCUGGUGAGUUCCUGUGAUGAUGGACUUAAUGUGAAGCAAGUUAAUGUGGCGAAACCCCCGGGUUAGCCGUGAGAUUAAAGAACAAAGAACAAAAA